GGUGAGCAAUGAGUCAGCCAUAGGAGCACAGGUGAAGGCAAUUCACCUAUGCUGCCGGAAGGAGUGGAGCCUCUCCUAGACCUAUUUAAGAGCUGACUACCAGUGGGGAAAAAGUCUCUUCUGGAGAUCCCUCCUCUGGAGUUUUGCCGUGAGCCCAGGAUGUGGGAGCCAAUGACUUCUGACUCUGAAGAGCCUAAACCACACAAGACAUAAAAAGAAAAUAAGAGGCUUUUUGAAAAGUUCCAUGUAAUGAAUGCUCACCUAGACUUUUUGGUCUGUCACUGGAAAGCUCUUGGUUCCAGCAGCCAAAAGAUUUACACUACAAAGAGCCUCUGCCAUGGAGGUACAAGAUUCUACACUUGCUUUUGCCAAACCUCAUCUGGCUUAUUGGUGCCCGGCUGUCCAGUCUGUCCAUGUCUUGCUUAAUGUCAGCACAGCCUUCAAGUUUCUCAGCCACUCCUCGCAGCUUUGUAUCAUCAGUGUACUUGCUGAGGGUGGACACUAUCCCCUCAUCAAGGUUGUCAAUGAAGAUAUUGAACAAGACCAGUCCCUGUUUAAAAAAUGCGAAAUAUCUUUUGCUAAUUACAUAGGGCCAGUUUUUGGUAGCAGAUCGAGGGGAAAUAGAAAAUGUCCAAACUUAAUGAACUGUGGAUGGGGUCAUGACUUUGGCAUGUCCUCCUUUCUGGCACAACCAGGUAGGAGGCAGGAGUGAAAGGGGGCACACUUACUUUGCACCAUGUUUAUAGACAACAGUACCUGGGCCAGGGAAAUGGUGCUCCAGUUUGUUGUUCGUGUGGACUAAAAGAUUCAUAGGAGGGAGAUCUAUGUCUGAAGUAAGCUCUGGCUUGUUAGUUCUCUCUCUCAGCUAUGCCUAGAAGCAGAAAUUUGUCUCCUGAGUAUAGUAUAUUUGAAGAAAAUGAUUGCCCAGGGGUCUAAGUGAUGGACAGUUUUAUUGCAUAUAUCAUAAAAGUGUUUCCAGCUACAAAAUUUUCAAUUCAACUCAGGAGGUGAGGGGUAGAACAGUAAAUUUUGAAAUUUAAUUUGUUCAGCCUAGAAAUAUGUAAGGCCUACACAAUACUGCAUCUGAGCUAGGAAAAUCUGCUCCUUUUGUGACAGAAGCAUAUGGCUGCACUCAAUCACACUCGAACCUGAAGAUCUAGGAUAAUGUUAACAGGAAAAAGCAGAAGAGAAACAUGACACGAGGUCAAUUUUGACAGCUUAAAACUGUGGUAUCUGAAGAGCCAAUAGGGUUGCCUGAUUCGUCAGAACAUACAAUGGAUUAUAGGAUAAUACAGCCUGCAGGCACUCUCUUUGAAUUUAUGCCCAAGACAGACAACAGCAUAUGCUCAAAUACAAGGACAUCAGGGUAAUGGAAUAUAAAGAAGUUGUGUGCUCAUCAUGUGAUGUGGGAAAGCAGCCAGAGGCCUGUAUUCCCAAGGGGUAUUUCUAGGGGCUGGUGCCUGAUGUUUGAUGUUUGGUGCUUGGCCUCUGUAUGUAGUUAUCAUCUGGCACGGAGUAUAUAGCACUAGUGAUAAGAGAGGCAUCAGAUCACCUUCAAGCAUGAAGUGCUCCUGUCACAAGUAAACAAUGAGAGAUGUUAAAGACUAAUAAAUCUUCAUGAUGGAUCAGUACAAAAUGACUUGGGAAUUGUGAUUGUGUAAUUUUGAUUCAUUUGAGGAAAUGCUUGGUGCCUAAUGGCCCUCAAACAUCCGUCUGUGUAUUGAAGUUGUUAGUGUUGUAAUUGCAUGGGAUGCAACAAGAAAUUUUUGAAGGCAUGUUGUGGUAUCUUCCUUGUUUAAUUUUAAAUUCUAUUAAGUUCUAUUUUAAUUUUUUGUUCUGAGUGUAGCUCUUUUCUGGGCAGAAGCAUAAGUGUCUAUACGAGGGAAAUACUAACAGUUAGUUCUCUUGAUUUUUGUUUAUUUAUUUAUUGUCUCUAAAGGAAAGGUAUUUUUGUCAAAAAAUGUAUCUAGUCUUUUUCUCAUAUUCAAAAGGCAUAAAAGCUGUGGUCGAACAGCAAUGCUUUUGUAUGCUAGAAAGGACAUAUUUAUAAAAGGAGCCAGACAACACAUACAGCAAAAUCCAGAGCUAAAGUUCUGCAUCUGGCAGACAAGUAAAGUUAUGUGAAUGUUUUUGAAUGGUCAGUAGAGGGCUUUCAGAGCAGGGAAUCAUCCUCAGGACUCGCCUACGAAUUCUGAUCUGAGGAAUGUUUCUUAGCGCUGACCAAAAUUAAACUUUUGCACAAUGGGAAAGUGCCACUCUGUAUUUAAGAGUUGUAAAGAGCAAUUAGUUCCCUGUCUAUGCUUCACUGCACUGCUCCCUGCACAUACAAUAGAUUUUGCAGUUGAGAGAAAGAAUAGAUUUCAAGACUUCAACUAUUCUAAUGUGGACACUGUCUUGAGUCUAGAACUGAAACAAAUUUAAAAUAAACUACCAAUAUACUUGCUGUCCACAGCUCACUGAUUGUGUUAAGUGUCUAAAAACAUGUUAGCAAGGCAUAAAACUUUCUUUGGGGAAAGGCAGCCCACACAAAUUUUUUUAGUAACCUCAGUUCAAUUACUCUGUGGCAUAAUAAAAAUUCACUUUUCCUACUUCAUCGAAAAAGAUCUCCAGCUCAGGAACUGCUAAGGAUCUCUGUAGGAUAUGCUCUUACCCCAAUCAGUUUAAGUGUUUUACUCAUGUGGCAUAAUUAAAAAGACUUCUGAGUCUGUCUUUUGAGCAAAACAAAAGCUUGGAGUGCUAAUUUGGAAUUGUCAUUACCAUACUAAUCUCUAAGCUAGCUGUGUAACAAUAUACAUAGAGAAUGUCUUUACUCUUUAUGUUUUCCUUGAAUGUUUCCUAAAAUAUAUUCUUCUGUACAUAAUUGAAAAUGAUUCAUGCUUUUAUUGCUAGUGCUUAUGAUUAUACUGGUUGCUAUGUGCAUUAAAUGAGUUUAUCAUGAAAGCAAACUGAACAAAACUUAGACUUAUUUUGAGAUGACUCUCAUGAAAUUCAAGGUCAAGGUAGAAAAAAAGAAAUGUAAGAGUUAUCAAUUGCCAUAGUGAAAGGAAUAAACUAACAAAAAGAAAAGUUUACUUCCCCUGCCACACUGCUCCCCUUUCUUAUUGCUUAGCAACAAAUAAGAUGCCACUUAUUUUCAGACAGGAAACAGAAACAGCAAGAAAGCUGCACACAAAGCUGGUAUCACUGCAAGUGUCCUGUAGAGCUCAUUGGUGCAUGGAGACUUGGCCUUUAAUGAAGAAAUUUGCAUUCAUAUGCAGGCGUGGAUGUGUGGACAUCAGUCCAGACUCUGGAACUGUUAUUUCAUUGAGUCAAAAGAAAUUUGCACAUGAAAGCCACAUCCGCAUUAUUUAACUCUGCAGCUCACUCAGGAUUGGCUUCCUUUUAGACAAAACUGCGUCUGAACCUCUGACUAAAUCUCCAGAGAAUUUAUUUUAUUUCUCUUGGAUAUCUGCUAGAUUUGACAAGUGGUGAACACAUUCUAUGUAAAUAUCAUUUGAGGUGUUACUUACCCUUUCCCCCAUUUCUGAAUUUCUUCUUAGAACAAAGCCACAUAACUGCAAAAUUUUCCCUACCCUCCUCAGCCAGUCCUACUGUCAGAUGGCAAUGUGAAAGCAUUCAUC